UAUAGGUUUAUAGGCACAAAGGCCAUUGAUUACAUUCUAUGACAUACAUUGGGGUAUAUGAAGAACAUAGGCCUGGAAAUGUAAAGAGAGACAUAAAGUCAAUCCUCAAACCUGAGUUGACUAGCGCUCAGAGAGAUAUCCAGGUCUACAAAAGGUGCACAGGUGGAUAUAAAGAUGACAAGCGUGCACAUGCUCCCUAGAGAACCAGCAGCAGCUCAUCAGAUUUAUUUCAAUAAUGAUCCUUCCGCAGGUUCACCUACGGAAA
rnacentral:misc_RNA from 1 species